AGCUCCAAUAGCGUAUAUUAAAGUUGUUGCAGUUAAAAAGCUCGUAGUUGGAUUUCUGGUUGGAGCGACCGGUCGGGCAUUGAUUUGUCUGCACUGGAGUCGGUUCCGUCCAUCCUCUCGGAAAGUGCGUAUGGCAUUAAGUUGUCGUGCGUAUGAUCCGGGUCUUUUACUGUGAAAAAAUUAGAGUGUUUAAAGCAGGCCUUCGCCUUGAAUACAUUAGCAUGGAAUAAUAAGAUAGGACUUGGGUCUAUUUUGUUGGUUUGCAGACCGAAGUAAUGAUUAAUAGGGAUAGUUGGGGGUAUUUAUAUUCCGAUGUCAGAGGUGAAAUUCUUAGAUUUUCGGAAGAUAAACUUAUGCGAAAGCAUUUACCAAGGAUGUUUUCAUUAAUCAAGAACGAAAG
rnacentral:rRNA from 1 species